rnacentral:rRNA from 1 species
UAGCCGUAAACGAUACUCGCUAGGUGUCGGCCACGGUGCGACCGUUGUCGGUGCCGUAGGGAAGCCGUGAAGCGAGCCACCUGGGAAGUACGGCCGCAAGGCUGAAACUUAAAGGAAUUGGCGGGGGAGCACAACAACGGGUGGAGCUUGCGGUUUAAUUGGAUUCAACGCCGGAAAUCUUACCGGGACCGACAGCAACAUGAAGGCCAAGCUGAAGGCUUUGCCGGAUUAGCUGAGAGGAGGUGCAUGGCGUAGUCGUGU